rnacentral:rRNA from 1 species
UACGUAGGGUGCAAGCGUUGUCCGGAAUUAUUGGGCGUAAAGAGCUCGUAGGCGGUUUGUCGCGUCUGCUGUGAAAACCGGAGGCUCAACCUCCGGCCUGCAGUGGGUACGGGCAGACUAGAGUGCGGUAGGGAGAUUGGAAUUCCUGGUGUAGCGGUGGAAUGCGCAGAUAUCAGGAGGAACACCGAUGGCGAAGGCGGCAUCCUGGACCAUGACUGACGCUGAGGAGCGAAAGCCAGGGAGCAAACGGG